AUUGAACGCUGGCGGCAUGCCUUACACACGCAAGUCGAACGGUAACGGGCCUUCGGGUGCCGACGAGUGGCGAACGGGUGAGUAAUGUAUCGGAACGUACCUUUCAGUGGGGAUAACGUAGCGAAAGUUACGCUAAUACCGCAUAUUCUGUGAGCAGGAAAGCAGGGGAUCGCAAGACCUUGCGCUGAUUGAGCGGCCGAUAUCAGAUUAGCUAGUUGGUGAGGUAAAGGCUCACCAAGGCGACGAUCUGUAGCGGGUCUGAGAGGAUGAUCCGCCACACUGGAACUGAGACACGGUCCAGACUCCUACGGGAGGCAGCAGUGGGGAAUUUUGGACAAUGGGGGCAACCCUGAUCCAGCCAUGCCGCGUGAGUGAAGAAGGCCUUCGGGUUGUAAAGCUCUUUCGGCCGGGAAGAAAUCGUAUCAGCUAAUACCUGGUGCGGAUGACGGUACCGGCAUAAGAAGCACCGGCUAACUACGUGCCAGCCGCCGCGGUAAGAC
rnacentral:rRNA from 1 species